rnacentral:rRNA from 1 species
UGAGGAACAUGACCUUCGGCGGGGGAGUAGCCGGCCCAACGGCCGGGUAAUACCGCGUACGACCACUUUGGGACAUCCCUCGGUGGUGAAGGCAGCAAUGCGCCGAUGGAGUGCCUCGCGGCCUAUCAGCUAGUUGGUGAGGUAACGGCUCACCAAGGCGACGACGGGUAGCUGGUCUGAGAGGAUGGCCAGCCACAUUGGGACUGAGACACGGCCCAGACUCCUACGGGAGCAG